CAGGGAGACAACAAAAUGUUUAAUAUUAUUAUUUUGUCACCUUAGGUCGAUCGGUAUCUCACGUUCUUAAUUCGUUAAGAAUUUCAUUUCCUAAGUUUUUCUAGGUCACACCCAUUAUUUUUCCUGGGCCAUUAGCUCAGGUGGUUAGAGCGCACCCCUGAUAAGGGUGAGGUCCCUGGUUCAAGUCCAGGAUGGCCCAUAUCUCUAUGUUGGGGGUAUAGCUCAGUUGGUAGAGCGCCUGCUUUGCAAGCAGGAUGUCAGCGGUUCGAGUCCGCUUACCUCCACUGAUUACCACCUCUUACAUAACCGGUAAAAAGGAAAUGUUUUGAGUUGUGAUCAUUAUUCUGAACGAAUCUAGCUUCCUAAUGAAAUCAUUAAGAUGCUGGACUCAUUGAAUUAAUUUCAUUGUUUUCAGAGAACCUUGACAACUGCAUAGAUUAUUUUUAAAGACAAUAAGCAUCUUUAAUGAUGCAGAUUUAUUAUUUGUGCGAAUGCAUUAAUAACAAUUCUAUUAAGCUGAUGCUUCAAUUUUUUGAAGUUAUU
rnacentral:tRNA from 1 species